rnacentral:rRNA from 1 species
AGAGUUUGAUCCUGGCUCAGGAUGAACGCUAGCGGCAGGCCUAAUACAUGCAAGACGAACGGUAAGUUUGAUAGCAAUAUUGAACCUAGAGUGUCGUAAGGGUGCGUAACACGUAUGCAAUCUGCCCUCAACAGGAGGAUAGCUCCCCGAAAGGGGAAUUAACACUCCAUAAGAUCAUGGUCUGGCAUCAGACAGUGAUUAAAACUCCGGUGGUUGAGGAUGAGCAUGCGCAUGAUUAGUUAGUUGGCGGGGUAAUGGCCCACCAAGACGAUGAUCAUUAGGGGAACUGAGAGGUUGAUCCCCCACACUGGCACUGAGAUACGGGCCAGACUCCUACGGGAGGCAGCAGUAGGGAAUAUUGGACAAUGGGUGCGAGCCUGAUCCAGCCAUGCCGCGUGCAGGAAGACGGCCUUCUGGGUUGUAAACUGCUUUUACCAGGGGAUAAAAAGACCAUGCGUGGUCAAUUGAAGGUACCUGGUGAAUAAGCCACGGCUAACUACGUGCCAGCAGCCGCGGUAAUACGUAGGUGGCAAGCGUUGUCCGGAUUUAUUGGGUUUAAAGGGUGCGUAGGCGGUUUUGUAAGUCAGUGGUGAAAUACUCCAGCUCAACUGGAGAGGUGCCAUUGAUACUGCAGAACUUGAGUACAGACGAGGUAGGCGGAAUUGACGGUGUAGCGGUGAAAUGCUUAGAUAUCGUCAAGAACACCGAUAGCGAAGGCAGCUUACUAGACUGUAACUGACGCUGAUGCACGAAAGUGUGGGGAUCAAACAGGAUUAGAUACCCUGGUAGUCCACACCUGUAAACGAUGAUUACUCGAUGUUGGCGAUACACAGCCAGCGUCUUAGCGAAAGCGAUAAGUAUCCCCCUGG